UCGAUGCAACGCGAAGAACCUUACCUGGUCUUGACAUCCACAGAACUUUCCAGAGAUGGAUUGGUGCCUUCGGGAACUGUGAGACAGGUGCUGCAUGGCUGUCGUCAGCUCGUGUUGUGAAAUGUUGGGUUAAGUCCCGCAACGAGCGCAACCCUUAUCCUUUGUUGCCAGCGGUUAGGCCGGGAACUCAAAGGAGACUGCCAGUGAUAAACUGGAGGAAGGUGGGGAUGACGUCAAGUCAUCAUGGCCCUUACGACCAGGGCUACACACGUGCUACAAUGGCAUAUACAAAGAGAAGCGACCUCGCGAGAGCAAGCGGACCUCAUAAAGUAUGUCGUAGUCCGGAUUGGAGUCUGCAACUCGACUCCAUGAAGUCGGAAUCGCUAGUAAUCGUAGAUCAGAAUGCUACGGUGAAUACGUUCCCGGGCCUUGUACACACCGCCCGUCACACCAUGGGAGUGGGUUGCAAAAGAAGUAGGUAGCUUAACCUUCGGGAGGGCGCUUACCACUUUGUGAUUCAUGACUGGGGUGAAGUCGUAACAAGGUAACCGUAGGGGAACCUGCGGUUGGAUCACCUCCUUA
rnacentral:rRNA from 1 species